UAAACGAUGUCGAUUUGGAGGUUGUGGCUUCCGGAGCUAACGCGUUAAAUCGACCGCUGGGGAGUACGGCCGCAAGGUUAAAACUCAAAUGAAUUGACGGGGGCCCGCACAAGCGGUGGAGCAUGUGGUUUAAUUCGAUGCAACGCGAAGAACCUUACCUGGUCUUGACAUCCAGGUGCUGCAUGGCUGUCGUCAGCUCGUGUUGUGAAAUGUUGGGUUAAGUCCCGCAACGAGCGCAACCCUUAUCCUUUGUUGCAACUCAAAGGAGACUGCCAGUGAUAAACUGGAGGAAGGUGGGGAUGACGUCAAGUCAUCAUGGCCCUUACGACCAGGGCUACACACGUGCUACAAUGGCAUAUACAAAGAGAAGCGACCUCGCGAGAGCAAGCGGACCUCAUAAAGUAUGUCGUAGUCCGGAUUGGAGUCUGCAACUCGACUCCAUGAAGUCGGAAUCGCUAGUAAUCGUAGAUCAGAUGCUACGGUGAAUACGUUCCCGGGCCUUGUACACACCGCCCGUCACACCAUGGGAGUGGGUUGCAAAAGAAGUAGGUUACCACUUUGUGAUUCAUGACUGGGGUGAAGCGUAACAAGUAACCAAGG
rnacentral:rRNA from 1 species